GACGAACGCUGGCGGCGUGCUUAACACAUGCAAGUCGAACGGAAAGGGCCGGCUUUUGUUGGGUGGUCGAGUGGCGAACGGGUGAGUAACACGUGGGUAACCUGCCCUUGACUUUGGGAUAACUUUAGGAAACUUGGGCUACUACCGGAUAGGAGCUGCUGCUGCCUGGUGGGGGGUGGAAAGUUUCGGCGGUUGGGGAUGGACUCGCGGCUUAUCAGCUUGUUGGUGGGGUAGUGGCUUACCAAGGCUUUGACGGGUAGCCGGCCUGAGAGGGUGACCGGCCACAUUGGGACUGAGAUACGGCCCAGACUCCUACGGGAGGCAGCAGUGGGGAAUAUUGCACAAUGGGCGGAAGCCUGAUGCAGCAACGCCGCGUGCGGGAUGACGGCCUUCGGGUUGUAAACCGCUUUCGCCUGUGACGAAGCGUGAGUGACGGUAAUGGGUAAAGAAGCACCGGCUAACUACGUG
rnacentral:rRNA from 1 species